rnacentral:lncRNA from 1 species
UCAAGUCGACCCCCAACCCUGGUCAUCGCCCGCUUAUUAACACUAUUUUAUUGUAUCAUACUGUAUCAUGUUACUAUAUUACCAAUUUCGCUUGUUAUUGUUUAUUGUUGUCAGUGCUGCCACCCACCUCUCUGGCCUCACCAUGUCGCUCCACCACCCCCUCCUCCCUCCUGCCCCUUCCAAUCCUCCCCUUCCCCUUCCCUCUCUUGCCCAGCUCUUUCCCGCUCUCUCCUCCUCCCUAGAACCCCGCUUUACCAGCGCCACCCCUCUUCCCCCUCCCCCUACUCUCCCCCCCACCAAGCCCCCUCCUCACACCCUCCCCUCUUCCCUCUUCCCCACCCACGCCCCAUCCCAGUCCUCCUGUCCCACCUCCACCCCUCCUCCCCCUCUCCCCAUCCAGGGCCCCGCCACCUCCUUCCCAUCCAAACCCUCCCCUCCCCCCGCCCUUUCCUCCCUCCCCCCCUUGCACCCACAGCUACUUUCAAGUUUGGCCUCUGGAACCCCUGCUUCAUUACAGGUACACUACCUUUCAUUCAUGACCUUUUCCUUUCCCGCUGUCUCCUCCUCCUCGCCCUUUCGGAAACUUGGCUCACUCCCGAAGACACGGUCUCCGCCGCUGCUCUCGCCAGCGGUGGCCUCUCCUUCUCCUACUCCCCCAGACUUUCCGGAAAGGGAGGAGGCGUCGGCUUCCUCCUCUCACCCCGUUGCCGCUUCCGCACUAUCUCUCCUCCCCCUUCCCUCUCCUUCCCCUCCUUCGAAGCCCAUAUCAUUCGCCUCUACCACCCCCUCCAGAUACUUGUAGUCGUCAUCUACCACCCUCCUGGUCCCACCUCCGACUUCUUCAACCACCUAGACCCCUUUCUCACCUUCCUUCUCUCCUUCCUUCUGCCCACUCUGAUCCUCGGAGACUUCAACAUCCACAUGGAUGUACCCGAUGACUCCUCUGCCGCCCGCCUGCUAUCCCUCCUCGACUCUGCCGACCUCCUGCUCCACCAUACCUCGCCCACUCACCGACUCGGUCACACCCUCGAUCUCGUCAUCUCCUACGGCUGCACUCCCUCCUCCCUCACCAACUCUGAAAUCCCUCUCUCUGACCAUAACCUUCUCACCUACCUCAUCUCUCACACUCCCUCCCCUUGCAAAUCUUUGCUACUCCCCCACAGAGACCUCUGCUCUCUUGAUCCCAUCCAUCUUUCCAAAAGCAUCUCUCCCCACCUUGCCCCCCGUCCUCUCUUCCCACUCUCGAUGAUCAGGUCACCGCUCUCAACUCCACCCACUCUACUCAUCUCGACUCUCUCGCCCCCCUUUUCCUUCGCCGCUCUCGCUCCACUAACCCACAGCCCUGGGUCACCACCUCUGUCCGUCUCCUACGCUCCUAUGCUCGAGCUGCCGAGUGCUGCUGGCGAAAGUCCAAGCACCAAGCCGACCUCAUACAUUUCAAAUUUAUCCUUUCCUGCCUUAACUCUGCCCUCUCUUCUGCCAGGCAAAACUUCUCCUCCCUCAUCGACACCCAUGCCCGUCACCCCCGCCAAUUGUUCUGGACCUUUAACUCUCUCCUUAGGCCCCCUGUUCCUCCCCCUCCCCCAUCCCUCACCCCCAGUGAUCUGGCCACCUACUUCAUCACAAAAAUGA